rnacentral:tRNA from 2 species
GCCGGCCUGCGCCAGGGGCUGCGGCGCCGGCAACGCGUCGACGGGCAGGCCGGCAUGCCAGCGUUGGACCGCCUCGAACAGCCGGCGC